UCCAUGUCCCCCUCACCCCUCACCCCCGGAUCCCCGGGUGGCGGAGGGCUGGGGCUGCCUCUGCUGAAGGCAGUUCGAUUUCACCUGUCCAGGGACCAAGCAGAAACGACUGCCUCCCUGUACUCGUGAAAUUCACAGUGGGCACGUGGGGUCAGGGCAACCUCGUAAUGAAAAUCAGAGCAAGAUGUUGCUAUAACACAGGUUUGGAAAGCAGAGGAAGGAGCUAGUGAUUCCAUCAGGGAGGAACCUAGAAGGCCUCAAAGAGGAGGAGGCACCGACUGUGACUUGGGCUUGCAGGAGCAGGAGGGAAUUGACAGGGCGGUGGGAGCCGUCGAGGGCCAUAGAGCGGGGAGCGGCUCUGUCGUGGCAUCCAGGAUGAGGCUUGCGGUGGAGGAGGCAGGGGCAGCCACACUGUGCGGCUUGCAGAGUCUUAUUUCCCGGAUCAGGUCAGAGAUUGAACCUGGGCCCCGGCAGUGAAAAGCGCUGAGUCCUAACUGCUGGACUUCCGGUGAAUUCCUGAGCUACUGUUAUUUUAAAACAUAAAUGCUUA